GACGAACGCUGGCGGCGUGCCUAAUACAUGCAAGUCGAACGAGAGCGCCCGGUGCUUGCCCUGGUCAAUCUAGUGGCGAACGGGUGAGUAACACGUGGGUAACCUGCCAUCAGAGGGGGAUAACAUCCGGAAACGGACUCUAAAACCGAAUAGGUCUUCGCGCCGCAUGGCUUGAAGAGAAAAAGAGGCCCAAGCUUCUGCUGAUGGACGGACCCGCGGUGCAUUAGCUAGUUGGUGAGGUAACGGCUCACCAAGGCCGUGAUGCAUAGCCGACCUGAGAGGGUGAUCGGCCACAUUGGAACUGAGACACGGCCCAGACUCCUACGGGAGGCAGCAGUAGGGAAUCUUCCGCAAUGGACGCAAGUCUGACGGAGCAACGCCGCGUGAGUGAAGAAGGUUUUCGGAUCGUAAAACUCUGUUGUUAGGGAAGAACAAGUGCUAGAGUAACUGUUAGCGCCUUGACGGUAUCUAACCAGAAAGCCACGGCUAACUACGUG
rnacentral:rRNA from 1 species